rnacentral:sRNA from 1 species
UUUUACCGGAAGUAUAGAAAAGUCACUUCCUUUCCGACAUUUGUUGUCGUUGUUCUGAGCCUAAGAAUGGCACCCCCAAGAAAGCAAAGAGAAAAAAAGAAGGCCGUUACUAAUGAGGUCAUUACAAAAGAAUGUACUAUUCAUAUUCA